UAUGGUCAUAUCACAUUUAAAUACCAGUUCUCAUAUAAUCACCCAAGUUAAGCAACAUCAAGCCUGGUCAGUAUCUAGAUGGCUGACCAUUUGGGAAUUCCAGGUGUUGUAAG